rnacentral:rRNA from 2 species
GACGAACGCUGGCGGCGUGCCUAAUACAUGCAAGUCGAACGAACUCUGGUAUUGAUUGGUGCUUGCAUCAUGAUUUACAUUUGAGUGAGUGGCGAACUGGUGAGUAACACGUGGGAAACCUGUCCAGAAGCGGGGGAUAACACCUGGAAACAGAUGCUAAUACCGCAUAACAACUUGGACCGCAUGGUCCGAGUUUGAAAGAUGGCUUCGGCUAUCACUUUUGGAUGGUCCCGCGGCGUAUUAGCUAGAUGGUGGGGUAACGGCUCACCAUGGCAAUGAUACGUAGCCGACCUGAGAGGGUAAUCGGCCACAUUGGGACUGAGACACGGCCCAAACUCCUACGGGAGGCAGCAGUAGGGAAUCUUCCACAAUGGACGAAAGUCUGAUGGAGCAACGCCGCGUGAGUGAAGAAGGGUUUCGGCUCGUAAAACUCUGUUGUUAAAGAAGAACAUAUCUGAGAGUAACUGUUCAGGUAUUGACGGUAUUUAACCAGAAAGCCACGGCUAACUACGUGCCAGCAGCCGCGGUAAUACGUAGGUGGCAAGCGUUGUCCGGAUUUAUUGGGCGUAAAGCGAGCGCAGGCGGUUUUUUAAGUCUGAUGUGAAAGCCUUCGGCUCAACCGAAGAAGUGCAUCGGAAACUGGGAAACUUGAGUGCAGAAGAGGACAGUGGAACUCCAUGUGUAGCGGUGAAAUGCGUAGAUAUAUGGAAGAACACCAGUGGCGAAGGCGGCUGUCUGGUCUGUAACUGACGCUGAGGCUCGAAAGUAUGGGUAGCAAACAGGAUUAGAUACCCUGGUAGUCCAUACCGUAAACGAUGAAUGCUAAGUGUUGGAGGGUUUCCGCCCUUCAGUGCUGCAGCUAACGCAUUAAGCAUUCCGCCUGGGGAGUACGGCCGCAAGGCUGAAACUCAAAGGAAUUGACGGGGGCCCGCACAAGCGGUGGAGCAUGUGGUUUAAUUCGAAGCUACGCGAAGAACCUUACCAGGUCUUGACAUACUAUGCAAAUCUAAGAGAUUAGACGUUCCCUUCGGGGACAUGGAUACAGGUGGUGCAUGGUUGUCGUCAGCUCGUGUCGUGAGAUGUUGGGUUAAGUCCCGCAACGAGCGCAACCCUUAUUAUCAGUUGCCAGCAUUAAGUUGGGCACUCUGGUGAGACUGCCGGUGACAAACCGGAGGAAGGUGGGGAUGACGUCAAAUCAUCAUGCCCCUUAUGACCUGGGCUACACACGUGCUACAAUGGAUGGUACAACGAGUUGCGAACUCGCGAGAGUAAGCUAAUCUCUUAAAGCCAUUCUCAGUUCGGAUUGUAGGCUGCAACUCGCCUACAUGAAGUCGGAAUCGCUAGUAAUCGCGGAUCAGCAUGCCGCGGUGAAUACGUUCCCGGGCCUUGUACACACCGCCCGUCACACCAUGAGAGUUUGUAACACCCAAAGUCGGUGGGGUAACCUUUUAGGAACCAGCCGCCUAAGGUGGGACAGAUGAUUAGGGUG